rnacentral:rRNA from 1 species
UACGUAGGGGGCAAGCGUUGUCCGGAUUUAUUGGGCGUAAAGAGCGUGUAGGCGGCCAAGCAGGUCCGCUGUGAAAACUCGAGGCUCAACCUCGAGACGUCGGUGGAAACCGUUUGGCUAGAGUCCGGAAGAGGAGAGUGGAAUUCCCGGUGUAGCGGUGAAAUGCGCAGAGUAUCGGGAAGAACACCCGUGGCGAAGGCGGCUCUCUGGGACGGUACUGACGCUGAGACGCGAAAGCGUGGGGAGCGAACAGG